AGCAGUCGCCGCGGUAAUACGUAGGUGGCAAGCGUUGUCCGGAAUUAUUGGGCGUAAAGGGCUCGCAGGCGGUUUCUUAAGUCUGAUGUGAAAGCCCCCGGCUCAACCGGGGAGGGUCAUUGGAAACUGGGGAACUUGAGUGCAGAAGAGGAGAGUGGAAUUCCACGUGUAGCGGUGAAAUGGGUAGAGAUGUGGAGGAACACCAGUGGCGAAGGCGACUCUCUGGUCUGUAACUGACGCUGAGGAGCGAAAACGUGGGGAGCGAAUAGGACUAGAUACCCGGGUAGUCCCUGUCUCUUAUAU
rnacentral:rRNA from 1 species